GAUGAACGCUGGCGGCGUGCUUAACACAUGCAAGUCGAACGAAGCACUUUAAAACAAUCCCUCGGGUGCGUUUUAUUGUGACUUAGUGGCGGACGGGUGAGUAACGCGUGGGUAACCUGCCUCAUGCAGGGGGAUAACAGUUAGAAAUGACUGCUAAUACCGCAUAAGCGCACAGUACCGCAUGGUACAGUGUGAAAAGAUUUAUCAGCAUGAGAUGGACCCGCGUCUGAUUAGCUAGUUGGUGAGGUAACGGCUCACCAAGGCGACGAUCAGUAGCCGACUAGAGAGAGUGAUCGGCCACAUUGGGACUGAGACACGGCCCAAACUCCUACGGGAGGCAGCAGUGGGGAAUAUUGCACAAUGGGGGAAACCCUGAUGCAGCGACGCCGCGUGAGCGAUGAAGUAUUUCGGUAUGUAAAGCUCUAUCAGCAAGGAAGAUAAUGACGGUACUUGACUUAGAAGCCCCGGCUAACUACGUGCCAGCAGCCGCCGUAAAAC
rnacentral:rRNA from 1 species